GCUUACGGCCAUACCACCCUGAAAACGCCCGAUCUCGUCUGAUCUCGGAAGCUAAGCAGGGUCGGGCCUGGUUAGUACUUGGAUGGGAGACCGCCUGGGAAUACCAGGUGCUGUAAGUU
ensembl:rRNA 5S_rRNA 5S ribosomal RNA